rnacentral:lncRNA from 1 species
AAAACCAACCAACCAACCAACCAACCAACCAAUCAAUCAAUCAAUCAAUCAAUGCAUGUUUCCGUUUCAUGUGUUAAAUACGGGAUCCAAGAUGUUUUUUUUCGCUCGUUUAAAUUGAGCCUAUCUAACGUGUUUAACCAGCCAACGUGUUUAACCAACGUGUUUAACCAACAUGUUUAACCAACCAACCAACCAACCAACCAACCAACCAAAACCAAUCAAUCAAUCAAUCAAUCAAUGCAUGUUUCCGUUUCAUGUGUUAAAUACGGGAUCCAAGAUGGUUUUUUUUCGCUCGUUUAAAUUGAGCCUAUCUAACGUGUUAACCAGCCAACGUGUUUAACCAACGUGUUUAACCAACAUGUUUAACCAACGUGUUUAACCAACCUACCAACCAACCAACCAACCAACCAACCAACCAACCAACCAACCAACCAACCAACCAACCAACCAAUCAAUGCAUGUUUGCGUUUCAUGUGUUAAAUACGGGAUCCAAGAUGGUUUUUUUCGCUUGUUUAAAUUGAGCCUAUCUAACGUGUUUAACCAGCCAACGUGUUUAACCAACGUGUUUAACCAACAUGUUUAACCAACCAACCACCCAACCAAUCAAUCAAUCAAUCAAUCAAUGCAUGUUUCCGUUUCAUGUGUUAAAUACGGGAUCCAAGAUGGUUUUUUUUCGCUUGUUUAAAUUGAGCCUAUCCAACGUGUUUAACCAGCCAACGUGUUUAACCAAUAUGUUUAACCAACGUGUUUAACCAAUAUGUUUAACCAACGUGUUUAACCAACAUGUUUAACCAACGUGUUUAACCAACCAACCAAUCAAUCAAUCAAUGCAUGUUUCCGUUUCAUGUGUUAAAUACGGGAUCCAAUUUUGAGCCUAUCCAAUGUGUUUAACCAACGUGUUUAACCAACCAACCAACCAACCAAUCAAUCAAUCAAUGCAUGUUUCCGUUUCAUGUGUUAAAUACGGGAUCCGAGAUGGUUUUUUUUCGUUUGUUAAAAUUGAGCCUAUCAAACGUGUUUAACCAGCCAACGUGUUUAAACUACGUGUUUAACCGACAUGUUUAACCAACGUGUUUAACCAACCAACCAACCAACCAACCAACCAAUAAAUAAAUCAAUGCAUGUUUCCGUUUCAUGUGUUAAAUACGGGAUCCAAGAUGUUUUUUUUUCGCUUGUUUAAAUUGAGCCCAUCAAACGUGUUUAACCAGCCAACGUGUUUAACCAACGUGUUAAACCAACAUGUUUAACCAACGUGUUUAACCAACCAACCAACCAACCAAUCAAUCACUUAAUGUAUGUUUCCGUGUCAUGCGUUUAAUACGGGAUGCAAGGUCUCUUGAGGUCUUUUUUCCCCUUGUUCUAAGUGACCCUAUCAAACGUGUUUAAUCAACCAACCAACAAACCAACCAACCAACCAACCAAUCAAUCAACCAACUAAUCAAUCAAUCAAUAUGUAUGACUGUUUAUUUAUGACAGUUUAUUGAAGGAACAAACUCUCAAUUAUUCAAGAAAAUUUUUAUUUUAUUAUUGUUCUUACGUCUCUUCUGAAAAAAAAUCCACAUAUUCUCUGAAACUACAAGUCCAAUCGACCUGAAAAUUUGCAGUCAGCAGGGCAUACAUGUACUGAAGGUUCAUAAAAAAAACUUUUUGCAGAUAUCUCUCAAGACUUUUCCUAGAAAAAAGAAAUGGCAAUGCCGUAAAAAUCGCUUGCUAGGUCCGUCAAUCUCAGUAAAAACCUACAAUAAAAUGUCCGCUCCGAGAUUGAAAUACUAAUCUGUGUUACAAACAGGUGCUGAAAAAUGGACAUUAUCAAAAAAUAAUCAUUAAAUGUGUUUUAAAGUUACACCGGAAUCAAUUAAAUCCAAAACAUGCACUGCUGGUGAACUGUGAUCAAAAUGUCAAUUUCCUACAAUGACAAAAGAAAUUACAUUGUGUACAUUCCAUCUCUAGACAUGUUGUCUGUUCAAGGUCCCGACCUAAAAAGAAAUUAAAAGACUAAGUUUUUCUUAAUAUAAACCCGCGUCACGUGAUGUCUCCUCAAUCUUGCGCGCGCGCUGUAUCUAAAAUAAAAGAAAAACUUUCCAAACUAAACAUGAAACUUCUCCGGUAACAUAAUAAUAUAGACCCUUUACCAAAGCAAACAAACAAACAAAUAAACAAAUACCCCCCCCCCCUUUUUUUUCCAAAUCAAUCAAUAAAAAAAAUCAAUUAUCCAUUCAUCAGAGGGGAAAGACUGCCUAACAAUUGUUUUCAAAACAAUUGCUUUAUAUUUAUUAUUAUUAAGUCUUUCCACUUUUCUGUGGAAAGACUUAUUGUUUUUCUUUAUUAUUAUUUUUUUUUUUUUUUUUCCGCCAAAUUUUGUUCUUGCGAUAAAUGUUUGUUUCGCAAUAUGUCGCUUAGAUAUUUCUCAUAUUGUAUCGUAUAGUUUAUGCGCUUUUAAAUUUCACCCUGCUAAGACGAACAAUUUUCUCUGUAAGAGUUAUCUCCCU